UACGUAGGUGGCAAGCGUUGUCCGGAUUUAUUGGGUUUAAAGGGUGCGUAGGCGGUCCUUUAAGUCAGUGCUGAAAUACUCUAGCUUAACUAGAGGGGUGGCAUUGAUACUGGAGGACUUGAAUGAAGUCGAGGUAGGCGGAAUUGACGGUGUAGCGGUGAAAUGCUUAGAUAUCGUCAAGAACACCGAUAGUGAAGACAGUUUACUAGGCUUAGAUUGACGCUGAGGCACGAAAGUGUGGGGAUCAAACAGG
rnacentral:rRNA from 1 species